UCGCCUGUUUUAUCAAAAACAUCGCCUCUAGAAUUANAAUUAAAGGUCCAUUCUGCCCAAUGAUAAAAAUUAAAUGGCCGCGGUACCCUGACCGUGCAAAGGUAGCAUAAUAAUUUGCCUCUUAAUUAGAGGCUAGAAUGAANGAAUACACGAACGUUUAACUGUUUCAUUUCUAUAUAUAAAAACUACCAACCAAGUGAAGAGACUUGCAUCAUAUAAAAAGACAAAAAGACCCUAUUGAGCUUUAUUCUAAAGCCAAAAAACAUAACAACCCCCGCCAAGAAUUUUGUUGGGGCGACAAGAGAAGAACAAAAUUUUCUCUAAAAAUAAAGGACGUACCCCUAACAAAGAUCCGCCAAAGCGAUUAAAAAAAUUAGCUACCAUAGGGAUAACAGGCUAAUCUUCUUUGAGAGCCCAAAUUGACAAGAAGGNNNNCNCCUCGAUGUUGGCUUAAGGUUCCUGAUAGACGUAGAAGUCAAUCAAAGUA
rnacentral:rRNA from 1 species